rnacentral:rRNA from 1 species
CUGGGCCGUAACUGACGCUGAGGAGCGAAAGGGUGGGGAGCAAACAGGCUUAGAUACCCUGGUAGUCCACCCCGUAAACGUUGGGAACUAGUUGUGGGGGCCUUUCCACGGGCUCCGUGCCGCAGCUAACGCAUUAAGUUCCCCGCCUGGGGAGUACGGCCGCAAGGCUAAAACGCAAAGGAAUUGACGGGGACCCGCACAAGCGGCGGAGCAUGCGGAUUAAUUCGAUGCAACGCGAAGAACCUUACCAAGGCUUGACAUAUACGAGAACGGGCUAGAAAUAGUCAACUCUUUGGACACUCGUAUACAGGUGGUGCAUGGUUGUCGUCAGCUCGUGUCGUGAGAUGUUGGGUUAAGUCCCGCAACGAGCGCAACCCUCGUUCUCUGUUGCCAGCACGUAAUGGUGGGAACUCAGGGGAUACUGCCGGGGUCAACUCGGAGGAAGGUGGGGAUGACGUCAAAUCAUCAUGCCCCUUAUGUCUUGGGCUUCACGCAUGCUACAAUGGCCGGUACAAAGGGCUGCAAUACCGUGAGGUGGAGCGAAUCCCAAAAAGCCGGUCCCAGUUCGGAUUGAGGUCUGCAACUCGACCUCAUGAAGUCGGAGUCGCUAGUAAUCGCAGAUCAGCAACGCUGCGGUGAAUACGUUCCCGGGUCUUGUACACACCGCCCGUCAAGUCAUGAAAGUCGGUAACACCUGAAGCCGGUGGCCUAACCCUUGUGGAGGGAGCCGUCGAAGGUGGGAUCGGUAAUUAGGACUAAGUCGUAACAAGGUAGCCGUACCGGAAGGUGCGGCUGGAUCACCUCCUUUCUA